UACGUAGGGGGCUAGCGUUGUCCGGAAUCAUUGGGCGUAAAGAGCGUGUAGGCGGCCCGGUAAGUCCGCUGUAAAAGUCAAAGGCUCAACCUUUGAAUGUCAGUGGAUACUGUCGGGCUAGAGUCCGGAAGAGGCGAGUGGAACUCCUGGUGUAGCGGUGGAAUGCGCAGAUAUCAGGAAGAACACCCGUGGCGAAGGCGGUUCUCUGGGACGGUACUGACGCUGAGACGCGAAAGCGUGGGGAGCGAACAGG
rnacentral:rRNA from 1 species